rnacentral:rRNA from 1 species
GGCACAACAAUCAUUGCCCCGGGUCCUGAACGCGUGCAGCGAGGCUACGUCGUUCUCGGCGGUGACCUUCCUAUGGUCUGCAAUGAGUGGGCAAUCGCUACUCUAGUUCCUGCUAUCCCCUCUGAAGAUUUCCCUGCCGCUAAUGCAAUGAUCACUGAGUAUAUUGAAGCCAAGGGAUGGAGGAUCAACUACACCUCCAGAUGUGGUAUGGGUACUGCUCUGAUCCAGUUUACAACUGCCUGUUCGAGAGAUUUUGCUAUUAGUAAUAGUCCUUAUGAGAUUGGGGACUCCGUUCUUCGCAUCACCAGGCAUGAUAGGAGUCUGAACUACCGUAGCAUCACUUUUACCCAUGAUGUUUGGCUCAUGUUGAUGAACUACCCACUUGAAUGUUGGGAUGUAGGAGUUGUUAGCCACACAAUCUCUCAAUAUGGUAGAUUUCUGAUAUGGAACAAGGACCCGAGAGACAAAACUAGGAUUAUUGUUAAGGUCAGAGUUAUGAAUGUGGAUACUUUUCCUGUCAGCAUUGUUGUUCUGCGCAAUUUGGACAAUGUUGGGUAUGGUGAUUCAUGGACCUGUCCAACCUAUAUACUGUCUCGUGAGAUCAUUGGCCAACUUGGUGGUGAUGAGGAUCCUCUACCCCCCAAUGGAGGAAAUCCACAUCCUCUCUCGCAUGUUCAUGAGGGUUUUUGGCAUGACAAAGUGCUUGGUAACAUCCCCAUGGAGCAGGUUGUUAUCAACCCACACAAUGAGCAUCUUGGAGCUCCUUAUGAGGAUGUUUAUGUACCUGCUGCUGUUGGCAAUGCCAACAAUGAUCAGAAUGAGGUGUUCCCCACUGUUGUCAUGCCUAUUCCAAUGCAGGUUGAUUCUGCAGCACAGACACUCAAUGAUGAGGUGCAGGAGGAUCAGAUGGAUUUCAUUCCUCUGCCUGAUGAUGACCCUUAG